AUGUACCACUCGUACACUCCGGUUCCUGUGCGCCGCCCGCACCCACCUGACGACUGCUCGCCAAGAUAUAGCC
rnacentral:sRNA from 1 species